CACCGCGGUUAUACGAGAGACUCAAGUUGAUUGCUUCCGGCGUAAAGAGUGGUUAAGGGAAUAAUAAAACUAAAGCUAAACGACCUCAAAGCUGUUAUACGCACAUGAACGUAUGAAGCCCAACUACGAAAGUGACUUUAAAAUUCUGACUCCACGAAAGCUACGACA
rnacentral:rRNA from 1 species